AUGGCAGCCAUGAAGACGGGUGCCCCUGCUGCCAGGGGAUAAUCGGGAAGUAUGGUAUGGCGCUUGCGCCUAUCCCAUCGCUGCCCCCGCAACGGUAAUGAGUGAGUCGCCUGCAACAACCACUGGCUUAGGCUGGGAAGGUGCAGGCAACGGCGUGAUCUCCUUGAUUGCGUCCUCCUCGAGCCCGGAGACCGGCCCGUUAUUUCGUUUCAUC
rnacentral:ncRNA from 2 species